ACUUUCACUUCCUCAUAACCUUUUGAGAACAAAAUACAUUUAAUUGAAAGUGAUUUAUUUAACUUUCACAAUGACAUUUCUUUGGUACUUUUCAUCUCUUUUUUUAACUUUCCAAAAAAUCGAAACUUAAAGGCCUCACUACUCGUGUGUAUGGCUAAUGUUUAAACUCAUCUUGGGCAGCUAUUUAUUGUAAAUUAGUAAUAUCUAGUGUAGCAAUUGUGCAGAUUUUUUUUUAUUUGUGUUUGUGUUUGUUUGAAAGUUACAUGCAUUUUUCAAAUGUUAUUUUCAGAGACUAACGCAGUCAGGACAUGUCUAAACUGUGAGAUGGAGAGGAGUCAGAUGGUCGAUUGCGAGAGCUUUAGAAACAGCGGAUGAUGGUGCAGAAUAAGACCUACACAAAAUGGAUGAACAAUGUCUUUUCAAAGAAUGGGGUACAAAUACUUUCCUUCCAAAACCUUCCAGUUCAGUGCUAGUUCUGGCAACAAGAUCCAAAAUCAGUGAAGUACCGAUAAAAUUUAAAGCUUACAUUUCAAAUGUGUCAUGAUCAACCCUUUUCCAUUAGUAAUUAUAUUACUAUGGAUAUCUAUCUAUCUUUAAACAUAUAAAUAAUCCACUUACUUUAUUCAGUGGUAUCUGCUUGUGGUGAAGCAAUUUCAUUACACACAAGCCUACCGGUUUUCAUCCAAAAUAUCUUGAAUUGUGUUCUGAAGACGAACUAAGCUUUUAUUGGUUUGGAACGACAUGGGGGUAAGUGACAAAAUGUUCAUUUUUGGGUGGAGUAACCCUUUAAGGUCACAAUUCUGUUUUCAUUGUCUAUUAUAUUACCAUAUACAUACUUUAUGUACUUGUCUCAUGAUGGAGAGUUAGUUUAGUUGCUUAUUUUAACAAGUUAGCUCACUGUUUUUCAUAUAUACAUACUCAAAGACUGAGUUUAAUAAUAAUGAUGAAAGAAAAUGGCAGGUCCGCAUAAAGGAAAAAUCUUUAUAAACUGUUAUGCCAACCUUUUGUGACAGAUCAGCAGCGGGGAGAGAAAAACACAGAUGAUUUGCUUUGUAUUACAUCAACAUCACAAAUUUUAGAUUUAGGAUGGAAAUAGUACGGCCUUGACUGUCAUCACAUAAUCUUUUUAAAGCUGAUAUUUCCACUGUAUGUCUCCGUUUGAGUGUUAUAUUUAACAGCAGUUACAUAUGACCUCUCGUACUCGUUGCCUUUGUUGUGUGAACCAACUGAGAGACUUCACUUACAUAAUAACCACUAACAUCAGGAAGAUGUUAAAACACACAAGUGGUGCUACUUUGACCUUCGCCGUGUUAGGGCACACAAAUAUAUUAAUAGUUGCACACAGGCAGCUGUCCAGUAGAAUGACAUGCUUUAAACGUUUCCCUUUCCUUUUCCCCUUCCUGGGUUUCUCCUGUGUAUUGUUCUGUAUCAGACAACACCGUUCAUAACAUGUUUAUUAUAAAAGGUCACACUGAUCAUUAAAUAUCUAAAUAUUGCUUAGAAAAUCAACUCUACCCAAACAAAUAGAAGUUAGCUAGAGAUAAUCGUUCUUGCUUUUAAAAGCAAUUGCGAAAGCUGCAAACAAGUAUGCAGUAAUUGCAAGCAGAUCUUUUUUUUUCUUCCUUUUUUUUUAAAUCUUUGCUCGAGUAAUGAAUGACAUGUCUGAAGAACUACCAGAAGAACAGGGUGUGCUCUAAGCUCCCUCGGUUCUUUCCCUGGGUAAGCAGAACCUAUUGGAGGCAGCAAGCAGAUCUGUUGAGAGACAUCAGAUUCUCAUAACACAUGGAUUAGGGAGGGCUUGCAAGUCUCUUGCUUGAAAGCAGAGAGCAGGAUGGCUUUACUGAGAGGAGUUUGAGUGAGUCACGUCAUGGUGGAAUACAGUAGCAGUUAGCUAAACAAAGUGGUAAAACAAAGCCAGCUGCUGAUUUCAUGCCUAAACUUGUUUAAAACUAAUAUGCCUAUGAUGCAAAACAAAUGCAGUUAUAGGAUAUAAGAACAUGUAUGUCACUAUAAACUGACACCGACUACCUGGAACGUUACUUGUAAUUCAGUGUUUUAGCAAUUUAUGAAUACUUGGUUGCAUAAACUGUGUGUUGGAAAUGUGUGUAAUUAUAUCUGAAUGUGCAUUCACUUUAAAAGAAAAGGUUGACGCAGCCUAAGAGUCCACUUCCUUAAAAUCAAGAUCAGUCGGUCUGAUUGGUCCAGAAAAUACUGUGGAUGGAGACCGAACCCUGAUUCUGGGCUUAAUUUGGAUCAUCGUUCUCUGCUUCCAGAUUGGAGCCAUUAAUAUUGUUGAGGCUGGUGGUGAUGUCAGUGUGGCGCUCAGCCAAAGAAGCUCUACUGAUAUGGUGUCAGUGUUUGCUGGCUACGCCAAUGUAAAUGUGCAAGACUUCUCUAACAGCUGGAGAGAUGGACUGGCUUUCAAUGCUCUUAUUCAUGCCCAUCGACCUGAUCUUUUUGACUACAACAGACUAUGGCAGGAUGAUCCGAUGAGGAACCUCACUCAUGCUUUCACUCUGGCAGAAGAUGAGUUUGGUAUAAUGCAACUUCUGGAUGUGGAAGUGUCAUGGUGCCCUAUCCUGACGAGAAGUCUAUCAUGAUUUACGUCUCCCUUUACUACCACUACUUCUUCAAAAUGAAGCAGGGUCAAACUAUUCAGAAGAGGAUAGCUAAGGAAGGUGGAUAUCAUGAACCAAUGGAAAGCUUUGCAGCAGCUUCUGCAGCAGCAGAGAGAACAUGUUGGAGAUGCUGUGAAUACAUUUGCUGUUCUCAGAGACAUCGAGUUAAUAUCUAUAAACCUAAAGGCCACUUUGUAUUAAGUGGCCUUAACUACUGUGUACAUACUGUAUUCAUAUUUUAUUGCAAAACACUUUUGCUGCUAUUGAGGUGGGAUAUGGGUAAGAUUAGGGACAGGUUUGGUGGUAUAGGUAGAUUUAAGGGUGGGUUUUAUCCAGAGACCAAGAGCUGCGCUGGGGGAGACACUCUGAUGAGAGAGACAUCCAAAAGUGGAUUUGCACUCUUCAGAAACAAUGGAAGAAACUUAAAGAAUAAGCAGUGGUUGGGGUAAAAAUGUUCCAAGUGCCAUUCCUCCUUUCCCUCAGUAUUUUGCAGACAUUACUGAAGCCAGCCUGUGGCUUGAUGACCACAAACCACUUCUCACUGAUGAGGAUUAUGGAAAGGAUGUCACCAAAAACUGGAGAAAGAAAUGGAAGCAUGUGCCUCAGAAGUUAAACGGCUGGGCGAGCAGGGCAAGAGUGCUGCCCAACUUGCUCCUCUUAAAAUGAGUCACAACCAAAAUAUUCCAUUAACGGUUAUGUACAUUUGCAAUACAAUUACAGCACUUAGUCUGUUUGAAUAAUCUUCUAAUGUUGCUUCAGGAAGGGUAAUGGUGAAAAACUGUUUAUUUGUGAUAUAAAUGUGAAUCAUUGCUAGUAUAAAACACAGAAAUUACUGCAUAGAUUAAUGGAUACAGCUUUACAAUUUUUCAUCAAUAAAAGACUGAAACCCAGCAGAGCUGAAUGGUACACUACAGUGAUUCAUCAGAUGGUGAAGAUGAGAAGAAUAAAAAGAUAACAAAGAAGGAAAAGUCAUCAGCAAGGCUUUACCACAAGAACAAGCAAGGUUAGGUUCAGAUAAAGAGCUCCUAUAUUAACCAGGGACAAUUGUCAGCAGGGAAAAAGGUGAUACGUUGCUUCUUCAAGAAAGCAGAGGAAAUGAGCAACUAGUAUCGUCCACAUUCAUCACGGAGAUGCCAUCUUCUAAUAAUACCAAAAAUAAUAUCCUGGAUGACACUGCACGACUACAUAGGUUCUGUAAUGCCUGUGAGGAGUUUGAUUCCUGGAUUGGAGACAAGGAGAAUGUCCUCAACACUUUAAACUCCAACUCCAACAACUUAGAGGUUGUACAAGCCAAAUAUGAGAAGUUUCUUACCAAACUAGCCAGCGGCUGAAAACAGCUCGAUGACAUUACCAAGCUUGGAGAGGAGCUUGAGAAAAAACAGCACAGCAAGAAAAAAGAGAUUCAGCUCAGGCUUGGAAUCAUAACCCCCAGGUGGGAACACAUUCAAAAAUUAAGGAUGAGAUGGAUCAUGAGCUGCUUAGCUCUGCUGAUGUGAAAUAGUUCCUGCAGACCUGCCAGGAUGUCCAGUCUCAGCUCCAGGAUAGGCUAGCCCAGCUUGACACGCCUGAUGUGGGCAGCUCACCAUCAGCCCUACAGGCUGAGGAACACAGACAAGCCCAAGCUGAGAGGGACACAGAAGCCCUGGAAAGGAAAAUAGAGCAUCUGCUCAAGCCUUGCUCAAGGAGAACCUUGAUCUGAAUCAAAAGAUUGAACUUCAGAGCGCAAAGUUAGAUGUGUUUAGCCUUUAUCUUGCGAUUCAUGCUUAGUGCCUAUGAUUAACGGUAAUAUUAUUUCAGAUUGAAAGAUAUGGAGAAGC